GUGGGGAAUAUUGCACAAUGGGGGAAACCCUGAUGCAGCAACGCCACGUGUGGGAAGAAGCAUUUCGGUGUGUAAACCACUGUCAUGAGGGAAUAAGGCCCGCCUCCGGGCGGGAUUGAAUGUACCUUGAGAGGAAGCACCGGCAAACUUCGUGCCAGCAGCCGCGGUAAUACGAGGGGUGCAAGCGUUGUUCGGAAUUACUGGGCGUAAAGGGAGCGUAGGCGGAGAUUCAAGCGGAUUGUACAAUCCCGGGGCCCAACCCCGGCUCUGCAGUCCGAACUGGAUCUCUUGGAUAGUUCAGGGGCAGGCGGAAUUCCUGGUGUAGCGGUGGAAUGCGUAGAGAUCAGGAAGAACACCGAUGGCGAAGGCAGCCUGCUGGGGACUUAUCGACGCUGAGGCUCGAAAGUGCGGGUAGCAAACAGG
rnacentral:rRNA from 1 species